UCUGUAAAGAAGCAAACACGGAAAUUCACAGCAGCACGAAACAUGCACUCAAAGCUAUGUUGGCAUUUGCCAUAUUUGGAACGAUACUAGCCAGUUUAGAAAUGAUAAAUUUCUUUCUUGGUUCGUGCAAGCAAAAGAUUAUGCAUCCAGUGUUUUUGUCUAUUAUUGUUUGUCUCUUCGAAGAGUUGCCAUUAGCUGGUCUUCGCUAGAAUCUUAAAACGUCGGCUAACAAUGAAAUGGUAGAUAUUUGGAGCAUUGUGUCCAGCAUUGGGACCAUGACAGCCCCUUUGCUUGGUCCUAUCUAUAAGUGUUAUAAAAUGACAGAUUGCUGCAACUCCUUUGACAGUGAUGAGGACGACGAAACUCGCAACCUCGUACCCAGGGAAACUUGCUGUGACGAGCUGUGCUCUGGGGAAAGCAGGGGGUUCGGUGCGACUUGCCUCGUCUUGAUGGUUGGUGUUGUUGUAAUUAUCAACAUUCUCAACUGGGCAGAUGUUGAAGCCCCUGGUGCUGAAUUGUGCGUCCAAGCAGUCCAAGAGUAAAUGCUUCUUCGUGGACGUUGGAGUAUAGUAUAUCAUGGCGUCAGUGAGUUUCUCUUUCCCGAGGCGGACUUCUUCAAAACAAAAUCUUUUGAGCGUUACCGACCCUCAUCAUUCUAACGAAGGUGAGUCGGUGACAACACAUCCUGGUUGGAAGUACUCUAUUCCAAGGAUCGUUUUGUCAGUUGCGCUCGUAGCUUAUGGUAUUUUUGAUUGCGUUAGCGAUUGGAAGCUAUAUUGUGAAAGAGAUAGUCAGAUUGAAGACAUCUGUAAAGAAGCAAGCACGGAAAUUCAUAGCAGCACGAAACAUGCACUCAAAGCUAUGUUGGCAUUUGCCAUAUUUGGAACAAUACUAAUCAGUUUAGAAACGAUAAAUUUCUUCCUAGGUUUGUGCAAGCAAAAGAUUAUGCAUCCAGUGUUUCUGUCUAUUAUUGUUUGUCUCUUCGAAGAGUUGCCAUUAGCUGUUCUUCGCUGGAAUCUCAAAACGUCGGCUAACAAUAAAAUGGCAGAUGGUUGGGGUAUUGCGUCCAGCAUUGGGGGUAUGACAGCCCCUUUGCUUGGUCCUAUCUAUAAAUGUUGUAAAAUGUCUGAUUGCUGCAAGUCCAAGUCCUCUUGCUGUUCUGGUGAGAAAGACGAAACUUGCUGUGACGAUCUGUGCUCUGGAACAAGCGGGUGGUUCGGUGUGACUUUUCUCGUCUUGAUGGUCUUGGUUGUUGUAACUAUCAACAUUCUCAACUGGGCAAAUUUUGAAGCCCCUGGUGCUGAAUUGUGCGUCCAAGAGUAAAUGCUUCUUCGUAGCCAUUAGAGUAUAUGUAUAGUUUAUACAUCUUCAAAAUCAUAAAAUGGAUUAAUCAUUCGAAUAGAAAUCUUUCAUAGUCUUGUCAGUGAACUUAAGAUAAAAAAUUCAGUAGAACAAUACGUAAUUGCAUAUAGCUACAAAUAGACUAUUCUUAUCUUUGUCAUCUAUUUUAAUGUUAGUAGAAUACAGUUUCGAUUCGGAAAUACAAUACUGAAA
rnacentral:misc_RNA from 1 species